CCCCGAUAGGAUCCGCCGCCGCCGCCGCCGCCGCCGGGGAACGAGGCGCCGCCGCCUCCCUCGCCCGCGGCCAUGAUGACCGAUCUGGCGUUGGCGCCGCAGAUCACCCUCUGGUCCAUGGCCUCGACUAGGUUGCUAUGAUCUGGCGACGGGGAUGCAAGGAGAAGCUGCUGCGGUUUCAAGGGGCCGUGAGGGUGCCCACCAUGAAGGCGUGUCUGGGAUGAUGGAGGUGAUAUCCGCCAGGUCCCCGUCGCCGUCGACUGGCGGCGGCCACCGUCUCCUCUUCCAUGGCGUCGUCGGGGCCUUCCCCUGCCAAGCACAGCGGCUUCUUGGCUGGAUCACCGUCGCACACCUCACCGGCGUGGUCGGCAAGAUCUGCAUCUCGAUCCUCGCCACUCUCCAUCCUCUUGCAGGUGGCAGGUUUAUAAAUUUCGAAAUAUAGUUGCAGCUUCACGGAAUGGACGGCCCAAAUUAUGUUAGUGUCUAUAUGUUUACUUGGUGGUGGUCUAGCGUGAGUGACACAUGCAUCUGUAACUUACCCAUUGGAUGUUCUUCGAAAUCACCUGACAACACAGAAAACCACUAGGUAUUACAAGGGCACCUUUCACACGUUGUCUACAAUUUGUAGAGAAGAGAAUGGUAGAGGAUUGUAUAAAGGCCUUUGGUCCACCUUAUUGGGAGUUGGACCUGAUAUAUCAAUCAACGUUUAUGUAUAUGAAUCCCUGAGGUCUCAUUGGAAAAAUGGAAAGUUGAAUGUCAAACUGUGCGACCAAUGAUUUGAUAUGGUUAAUUCCAGUUGGGUGUGUUAACCUACAGUAAUCAAUCAAGUCAACAAAUAUAACAAUGAUACUUUGUCUUCUGAUUUUGGUGAUGAUUUUUUUGUGACUGAACUAACAGGAGUUGAAGCAUAUGUGUUCUUAUUUUUUUUAUAUGACUACAUGCAUAUGAACUGAAGCUCCAUAAUUUUCUUUUCAAGUCGACAUUGGUGGCAACCAAUACAAUUAGCGUUAUUUACAACCAAUGAAGUCUUACAAUUUUCUUUCUUAGAAAUAUACGGUGACGCUGACUAUCAUUUAGUAGCUCUACAGGCACUAGCCUAAAACAAUAAUGUUUAUUUAUUUAACCACCAAAUAGAACAAUAGGUUAUUCUGCAUUAUGGGUACACAAAUCACAACACUAUAUUUCAGCUGUAGAAAUCUGUGUGGAUGCCUGCUGAUAUUUUAAGCCUACAUAUUGCCAAUUUGGUUUGAGUAAUGCUUGAAGCAUAAUUUACUCCCUAAUGUGCAAAUAGCAGUAUCAUUUUUUGUCAAGAAACUGAGAAGACGGAAGAGAGUUGGUGUUGUCAGUGUGGUGAGCCUAUGUGGCAACCACAAGGCUGAAGUCUGCUUUGAUCGUUGUUCAAGAUUUGAGCCUUGGCUCCGGUUUUGAUAGCUCUAUAUCAACUUUCAGCGAGUUUUUGUUCUCGGACUUGGGAUCCACAGUCCAAAGUUGAUUGGUGGAUCAAGUGAACUUGGUGCAUCUCCAUUCAAGCUGGAGUACAAUUACCAGCCUGCUUGUUUAGCGCAGUCUCCACAAUCAUACAAGCAAAUGAGCAGCUGGCGACCCAACACACAAAGUUUCUAUCUUCUUAUUUUCUAUACAAGUAGCAGCUGGCGCAGCGGUGGUGUUGAUGAACGACACCCAAUGCAGAGGCGGCAGUUACCAUAGGGAAGAGGUCAAGAACAUCUAGCUCUUGUGGUGUUCCUCCUCAUUAUUGUCAUCGCCAUCAACAACAACAAUGACGACCGGCUCAUGAGACAGCUACUAGAGAGGGAGCGAGGAAGGGGGAGACAGAUCUUUCAGGUACAAUGGUAUGACAACCAUGUUCUGAACUAUCAAUGGGAUU